AGGACGAACGCUGGCGGCGUGCUUAACACAUGCAAGUCGAGCGGAAAGGCCUUUCGGGGUACUCGAGCGGCGAACGGGUGAGUAACACGUGAGUAAUCUGCCCAUCGCUUCAGGAUAGCCAUCGGAAACGGUGAUUAAUACUGGAUAUGACAUUCCUUCGCAUGUUGGGGUGUGGAAAGUUUUUUCGGCGGUGGAUGUGCUCGCGGCCUAUCAGCUUGGUUGGUUGGGUAAUGGCCUACCGAAGGCUUUGACGGGUAGCCGGACCUGGAGAGGGUGACCGGCC
rnacentral:rRNA from 1 species